rnacentral:pre_miRNA from 1 species
AGUGGGAUAGUUGGGUCAAAUGAUGUUUCCAUUCCAAGUUUUCUAAGGAAUCUCCAUAUUGCUUUCCAGAUUGGUUGCACCAUUUGCCAUCUUACCAGCAAU